UUAUUGGCUCGGCUAAGAUCUUAAGGAUCGGAGCCCCAGGGAAACCGAGUCUGAAUAGGGCGAUCAAUGGUCAAUGGCGGUAGACGCGAAACUGCGUGAACUACCCAUGGGCAGGUUGAAGCGAGGGUUAUACCUCGUGGAGGACCGAACUCACUUGGGUUGAAAACCGAGGGGAUGACCUGUGGGGAGGAGUGAAAGUCUAAUCAAACGCAGAGAUAGCUCGUUCUCUCCGAAAUAGCUUUAGGGCUAGCCUCGAGCCACUACGUACCGGGGGUAGAGAUACUGAAUCGGCCUGGGGCGCCUUCAAGCGUACCCUGCUGAACCAAACUCCGAAUACCGGUGCGAUUAUCUCGGGAGUCAGUCCCUGAGGGAUAAGCUUCAGGGACGAGAGGGAAACAACCCAGACCGUCUGCUAAGGUCCCGAAAAAGAACUUAGUCACUAAGGAAGUUGAAUUGCUGAGACAGCCAGGAUGUUGGCUUAGAAGCAGCCACCAUUUAAAAAGUGCGUAACAGCUUACUGGUCGAGCAGUUCUGCGCCGAUAAUGAACGGGAGUAAGUUCUUUACC
rnacentral:ncRNA from 1 species